GUAAAUUUAGUUUAACAAAAACAUUAAAUUGUGGUUCUAAAGACAAAGGUUAAAGUCCCCUAAUCCACC
rnacentral:tRNA from 1 species